rnacentral:rRNA from 1 species
CGGACGGGUGCGUAACGCGUAUGCAACCUGCCUGACACAGGGGGAUAAUCCGAAGAAAUUUGGUCUAAUACCCCAUAAUACCGAUAUAGGCAUCUAUGUUGGUUGAAAGCUUUGGUGGUGUCAGAUGGGCAUGCGUGUAUUAGCUAGUUGGUGAGGUAACGGCUCACCAAGGCGACGAUACAUAGGGGGACUGAGAGGUUAACCCCCCACACUGGUACUGAGACACGGACCAGACUCCUACGGGAGGCAGCAUG